UACGACUACAUAUCAGGCAUAUCAAUAAGCGGAGGAAAAGAAACUAACAAGGAUUCCCCUAGUAACGGCGAGUGAAGCGGGAAGGGCUCAAAUUUGAAAUCUUAAAGGGUUUCCCUUUACGAAUUGUAGUUUAAAGAAGUGUCUUCUGUUGGAGUUUCGGUAAAAGUUCUUUGGAAUAGGACAUCAUAGAGGGUGAGAAUCCCGUAUUUGACCGUUACUUUCCAGCUGUGUGAUACACUUUCAAAGAGUCGGAUUGUUUGGGAAUGCAGUCCAAGAUGGGUGGUAAAUUUCAUCUAAAGCUAAAUAUUGGCGAGAGACCGAUAGCGAACAAGUACCGUGAGGGAAAGAUGAAAAGAACUUUGAAAAGAGAGUUAAACAGUACGUGAAAUUGUCAAAAGGGAAGCGUUUGACACCAGUGUUGUUUAGUUGAAAAUCAAUUCAAUAGUUUUUGAUUCUAAGUAGUAUUGACUUCAUCAGCUUGCUGCUUUCUUCUCAGAAAUUAUUGAAUGCACUUUUCAGUUAACAAGUCAACAUCAAUUUCUUUUGUUGUAAAAGGGUAAGAGGAAGGUGGCUUGCGCUUCGGCUCAAGUGUUUAUAGCCUUUUAUCUCUGCAAUCGGAGAGAUUGAGGUCUGCAGCGUAGAUCCUUCGGGGUUAGAUACAUUGGUGCUAAGCUACAGCUUUUCAUAGACAACUUGUUGACUAUGUUUAGUCUUGUGACUUACCCGCUUAUGCUAUUUUACCUACGCUUAGGAUGUUGAGCGCAUGUCUCUCUCU
rnacentral:rRNA from 1 species